UGAAGUCUGGGGCAGCAAUACUGACAAGUUUACAAGGAGGGUAUCAGUGAGUUAGACAUAAUCACUGGAGGAGUUGGCUAAUUAACCAAAGUAAUCUAUGUCAACCACCACUGGGCGAGCCCCGAGGGGCUCUCACUUCUGGCACCAAGCGCCCAGCCAGGCCAUGUGCGACCCGCUCCGGGGACAGUGCCAGGUGGGGAGUUUGACUGGGGCGGUACACCUGUCAAACGGUAACGCAGGUGUCCUAAGGUGAGCUCAGGAAGGACAGAAACCUCCCGUGGAGCAGAAGGGCAAAAGCUCGCUUGAUCUUGAUUUUCAGUACAAAUACAGACCGUGAAAGCAGGGCCUCAGGAUCCUUUUUUUUUUUUAAGAAAAAUUUAAUUUAAAAAAAAAAAAAAAAAAAACA
rnacentral:ncRNA from 1 species